rnacentral:lncRNA from 1 species
AAAUAUUUUCCAUUUUCCUUUUAGAAAUAUCAAUAUUACUGGUCUUUCAGUUGUAAGUGACCAAAUAUAGUGAGCACUAAAUCAUUUGUUCAUCGAAAAAUCUCACAAAAAGAGCAAACAAAAAUUCAACAAAUCAAAUAGGCAUUGGUGAUUGGCAGGAACUCUCAUCUAACAGUUCAGAGGACAGAGAGUUAGCUCUCCAUCUCAACGAAACUGCAUUGCAAUAUUGGCAGGAAAUGUCCUGAUGGAAACUGAAAAGGGGAUGAGUAUUAAUACAAUCCAUGAAAAAUAGAAUGACAUUAAAAUAUAAAGAAUUUAUGCAUCUUGAUGCUUACAAAAGAUAGAAUAUUAAAAGAGAUUACAUCGCCUCUGUUUAUGAUAAGAGAAAAAGGACCUUCAAUGCUACACAAAAGGCAUAGUAGAGCCAAGAACAAAGCAUGUGUGUUAAUGUUUGGGGUUACCUGCCUGAGUUUGGUGGGCGACAAACUCGACGGUGUCCAGGAUUGCGAAGCGCUUCUAUUCUGAUAUUGAUUAGCCUUACAGACUUGGAUUGCUGGCUGCAGCACACGUACAUGUUGAGAAGAUUUUUAAGGCCUGGGAUAUAGGUGCACGUGGUUGGAGCAUGGCGUGUUUGCGGGUGGAUUGCAGCGUCCAUGCAAGUUUUGAACAAAGUUGAGAGGCGAGUCGACCGCGUGGAGGCGGAUUGAAGGCUGCGGUGAUACGCCAAAUCAGGUUGGCUUGUACUGUACAGAAAGAAGAUUCAGACCGAUAGCAAGAGCCACAUAGUGAAGAGGAGUUUUAUGAAUGAGGAAUCAGGUUGAACUGUACCUUUGCCAAUGGAAGAUUGGAGUUGAUAGGACAUUGCAAAUGGAGGGC